rfam:Phormidium sp. OSCR ITZY_scaf_710, whole genome shotgun sequence.
CCUGAAAUCCACUAAAAUCCCUUUGAGGGAUUGAAAC